UGCCACUCCCUAGGCUGUCCCUUCUGU
rnacentral:piRNA from 1 species